UGGGGAAUAUUGGACAAUGGGCGCAAGCCUGAUCCAGCCAUGCCGCGUGAGUGAUGAAGGCCCUAGGGUUGUAAAGCUCUUUCACCGGUGAAGAUAAUGACGGUAACCGGAGAAGAAGCCCCGGCUAACUUCGUGCCAGCAGCCGCGGUAAUAUGAAGGGGGCUAGCGUUGUUCGGAUUUACUGGGCGUAAAGCGCACGUAGGCGGACUAUUAAGUCAGGGGUGAAAUCCCGGGGCUCAACCCCGGAACUGCCUUUGAUACUGGUAGUCUUGAGUUCGAGAGAGGUGAGUGGAAUUCCGAGUGUAGAGGUGAAAUUCGUAGAUAUUCGGAGGAACACCAGUGGCGAAGGCGGCUCACUGGCUCGAUACUGACGCUGAGGUGCGAAAGCGUGGGGAGCAAACAGG
rnacentral:rRNA from 1 species